rnacentral:rRNA from 1 species
AUUGAACGCUGGCGGCAGGCCUAACACAUGCAAGUCGAGCGAGCGGCGGACGGGUGCGUAAUGGCUGGGAAACUGCCUGAUGGCGGGGGAUAACUACUGGAUACGAUAGCUAAAAACGCAUUACAUCCGAUGUCCCCAGAUGGUAUUGGCUGGUAGGUGGGGGAACGGCUCACCUAGGCGACGAUCGCCAGCUGUUCUGAGAGGAUGACCAGCCACACUGGAACUGAGACACGGUCCAGACUCCUACGGGAGGCAGCAGUGGGGAAUAUUGUACAAUGGGCGAAAGUCUGACGCAGCCAUGCGGCGUGUGUGAAGAAGGCCUUCGGGUUGUAAAGCACUGUCAGCGGGGAGGCGUUACCUGAAGAAGAAGCACCGGCUAACUCCGUGCCAGCAGCCGCGGUAAUAC